rnacentral:rRNA from 1 species
GUAGUCCAUGCCGUAAACGUUGGGCACUAGGUGUGGGGGACAUUCCACGUUUUCCGCGCCGUAGCUAACGCAAUAAGUGCCCCGCCUGGGGAGUACGGCCGCAAGGCUAAAACUCAAAGGAAUUGACGGGGGCCCGCACAAGCGGCGGAGCAUGCGGAUUAAUUCGAUGCAACGCGAAGAACCUUACCAAGGCUUGACAUGAACCGGAAAUACCUGGAAACAGGUGCCCCGCUUGCGGUCGGUUUACAGGUGGUGCAUGGUUGUCGUCAGCUCGUGUCGUGAGAUGUUGGGUUAAGUCCCGCAACGAGCGCAACCCUCGUUCUAUGUUGCCAGCGCGUGAUGGCGGGGACUCAUAGGAGACUGCCGGGGUCAACUCGGAGGAAGGUGGGGACGACGUCAAAUCAUCAUGCCCCUUAUGUCUUGGGCUUCACGCAUGCUACAAUGGCCGGUACAAAGGGUUGCGAUACUGUGAGGUGGAGCUAAUCCCAAAAAGCCGGUCUCAGUUCGGAUUGGGGUCUGCAACUCGACCCCAUGAAGUCGGAGUCGCUAGUAAUCGCAGAUCAGCAACGCUGCGGUGAAUA